AAGUAAAUGUUUUUAGAAUUUUAAUGUUUUAAGUCUUGUUAGUGUGUUGCUAUAAAACAUGAAAUACACACAGCUCAUAUCAUUGCAUCGUGGUGAUGAGAGUCCUCAUGUUAGAAUGAAAGGCACAUUAUGAUCAGAUAGUAAAGUACUUAUUUUUUAUAUAUUUUUUAUUUGAAUUGAACUACUGGUUUACCAUAUAUUAUUCCAACAUUUCAGGAGGUAAGUGAUAUUCAUAGUAAGCCCUUGUGCAAUAAGUGCAUUUGAUGAAGUGUAUUUAAUAAAAAUCUUUACUUUUUGGGGGUUAAUGGUCCGUUCUCUUGUUUAGAUGAACACAACACCUGUCCUGAAUCAUCACCACCUUUGGUGUGAACAAACAGAAGCUCCAGCAUGUAAAGCAGAGGACAGAUAUUUAAUGUGUCUUUUGUUGUUG
rnacentral:lncRNA from 1 species